rnacentral:tRNA from 3 species
UCCUCGAUAGCUCAGCUGGUAGAGCGUUCGACUGUUAAUCGAAUGGUCGCAGGUUCGAGUCCUGCUCGAGGAGCCA